rnacentral:rRNA from 1 species
AUUGAACGCUGGCGGCAUGCCUUACACAUGCAAGUCGAACGGCAGCGCGGGAGCAAUCCUGGCGGCGAGUGGCGAACGGGUGAGUAAUAUAUCGGAACGUGCCCAUUAGUGGGGGAUGGCCCGGCGAAAGCCGGAUUAAUACCGCAUACGACCUGAGGGUGAAAGCGGGGGAUCGCAAGACCUCGCGCUAUUGGAGCGGCCGAUAUCAGAUUAGCUAGUUGGUGGGGUAAAGGCCUACCAAGGCAACGAUCUGUAGUUGGUCUGAGAGGACGACCAGCCACACUGGGACUGAGACACGGCCCAGACUCCUACGGGAGGCAGCAGUGGGGAAUUUUGGACAAUGGGCGCAAGCCUGAUCCAGCAAUGCCGCGUGCAGGAAGAAGGCCUUCGGGUUGUAAACUGCUUUUGUCAGGGAAGAAAUCCUUUGGGCUAAUACCUCGGAGGGAUGACGGUACCUGAAGAAUAAGCACCGGCUAACUACGUGCCAGCCGCCGCGGUAA